ACCUCAGACGGUGAUUAGAGAGAAGGAAAUAUGGAAAGCAGUUGAGGAAGUUUUCUAUACUUCGUCCAUUGGUGUCGAAUGAAGACGACAUCUUCGACAACACUGAAUUUCGAAUUAGGAAGCAUCCAUACAAGAACUAGAGGAUAACGUCUAAUCGUGACUGUAAUAAUCUUUAUGUGUGGCUGAAUCCACGGUUAUGGCGGCAGUUUCUUCCUAAAAUUGAGGAAUAUAUUCGCUGUAAAAAUAGUUCGGCCAUCAAUGUUUCCUAGAUGGUUCAUUCAUAAGUAAUCAAUUAAGUCCAUGUUUGUAUUUCACUACACAACACUUCAGCAUUUGAUACUCCCAUGCUGGAUGUACACGCAACCGUUACUGCUUCUCUGAAUACUACACAUGCCAUGCGGAUGAAAAACGGAAGUGGCGAUAUUUCACUAGCGCAGACGAGUAUAAUACCUCAACAGCUACAGUGAAAGCAUUUCACCUUUACUUGGAUAUCAGUCAAGCUUUUGACAUACCCUCUUAUCCUCUAGACACUGAUAUGUGCGUAGAUUAAUUCUUUUCUUUGAAAGUGAGAUGGUGGUUACACCUAUCAGACUCGCUCGUUCUCACUCAAUAUGCCCAGUGGCAAGAUAAAUUAAACUCUACUGCAUGAGAAUACAGGAGAUACGCAAAAUGGCUAAACAGCUAUACAGAACUUACAAUACCAUCUAACUUGGUCUAUGACGAGCAUAAAAUAUUAUAUGUUUCCAGGCAUCAUCACGAGUUUCGUGAUAGUACGUUGUUCCAUACACAGUUAAUCACACUGUUCUACUGCUGGCUACUUCGAUAUUGUUUCCUUAUUUCUUCCAGGAAACAUUCGAAUGAAAUACGAGCAUGCCUCUGAGAUAACAAAUAUUUAAUGUGCAUACACAUAUACAUAAUAAGAAGACCAUUGGCUCCCUUGGAUGACCAUCGACCAUUUGGUAGAUUUUGCUUCUUGUAGUGUCUAAAAUUACUUACCUCAAAACACGAGCUUACCAGUAACGACCACUAUGUCGUACACUGACCACCAUGUAACGAAGUAUAUUGAUUAUUGUUUACUGUUAGCAACAUCGUGGGUCUUCAUCGUAUGCACACGCAUGCACACAUUUGUGGCCGCGUAUGAAGCAUUUUUGGUGCAGCAUGGUAAGAGAUGACACAAUAAAUUCAUAUGAAUUCAUUUGCCAGCAUAAUUGAUGAGACAAUGUGAGAAACAGAAGCAAUGUCAGAAAGAUACAGACGACUCUACCUGCAACACCAAGGUCAUACUGCUUGCCAAGAUCAAGGAGGUGUUCAAAGAUCUUCCCAGGGACACAGUGACGAAUGUACGUGCUAGGUUCCAGGGUCAUCUUGAGGACAUGGUGGACACUGAGGGCAGCUACUUUGAUCCUAUAACAGUGUGUGUGUUGAGUAGAAGAAAAUAUAAACCAAUUUUUAAUGGCUUUUCAUAUGUUAGCAAUAAGACUG